rnacentral:rRNA from 1 species
UACGGGGGGAGCAAGCGUUGUUCGGAUUUACUGGGCGUAAAGGGCGCGUAGGCGGCGCAACAAGUCACUUGUGAAAUCUCCGGGCUUAACCCGGAGCGGCCAAGUGAUACUGUCGUGCUAGAGUGCGGAAGGGGCUACUGGAAUUCUCGGUGUAGCGGUGAAAUGCGUAGAUAUCGGGAGGAACACCAGUGGCGAAGGCGACUUCCUGGCCUGUUCUUGACGCUGAGGCGCGAAAGCUAGGGUAGCAAACGGG